AGAAGUAUUCGUUAUGUAACUUCUGUCAUAUAGGAAGAACGGUGGAUAUAGGGAAUGAUAUCCAAGUGACGGUACUCUGUCAGAAAGCCACGGCUAACUACGUGCCAGCAGCCGCGGUAAUACGUAGGUGGCGAGCGUUAUCCGGAAUUAUUGGGCGUAAAGAGGGAGCAGGCGGCACUAAGGGUCUGUGGUGAAAGAUCGAAGCUUAACUUCGGUAAGCCAUGGAAACCGUAGAGCUAGAGUGUGUGAGAGGAUCGUGGAAUUCCAUGUGUAGCGGUGAAAUGCGUAGAUAUAUGGAGGAACACCAGUGGCGAAGGCGACGAUCUGGCGCAUAACUGACGCUCAGUCCCGAAAGCGUGGGGAGCAAAUAGGAUUAGAUACCCUAGUAGUCCACGCCGUAAACGAUGAGUACUAAGUGUUGGGAGUCAAAUCUCAGUGCUGCAGUUAACGCAAUAAGUACUCCGCCUGAGUAGUACGUUCGCAAGAAUGAAACUCAAAGGAAUUGACGGA
rnacentral:rRNA from 1 species